GUCAGCGCUUGCCAAGAGGUGGAGACCCAGUCACCCACGGAUGCUUGGGAUGGGCAGAGCCUCCUGGGGUGAAGUCUUCUAGGGUCUAGGGUCCCACAUGGUGGUCCCUGGAAGGCUUUCUGUUCUUCCAGGCCCUACAGAGGAGACCAAGGCUCAGCUGGCAGCUAGCUGUGGGGCCAAAUUCUCCUCUCUGCCUAGGGGAGAGCCCCCUGCAGUACCCCUUGAGAGCCCCUGGGGACCUGCCUGGGGCACACCCUGGCCCUGAGGAGGCCCGGCUCUGGGAGCACUGCAGCCAGGAUGGAG
rnacentral:lncRNA from 1 species